rnacentral:lncRNA from 1 species
AUGCUGCAGGACCUGGGGUGCUUCUGGACACGAGUGGGGCCUCCACCGCCUCUCCCCAGCCCGCAGGGUGAGGCUGGCGGUCCCGGCCUCUCCUCCGCUGCCCUCCCCUGUGUGUCCUCCACGUCCCCGGCGUGCCCUGCCGCAUCCCGGCGGGGUCAAUAUCCCAGCAGGGCCCGGCCGAGCCGCGCGCUGCCCACGUCACCGAGCCGGCAGCAGCCGCGCGGCCGUGGCCCACGGGGCCGGGGGCCAGCAGGGACCCCCCAGCCGCAGCGCCCACCCCCGUGGGUCCCGCUGCACCCAGCUCCCCCCAGCCACCCGCGGGGUCACGGGGAAGUGGCAAGGCCGAGCCACCGUCCCCAGGCCGUGCUCCGUGCCGGAGCGUGGCCGCGGUGUCCCCUGCCACCAUCACCCGCUGGUGCUGGGGACGUCGUCCCCGCGCCUCCCGCUGGCCUUCAGCUCCUGGACUUUGGGCUGAGCACGGGAGUGGCGGUGGCGGCGGUGCGGCUGCCGGUGCUGGCGGAGCCCCAAAUUGCCUCUGCGGUGAGACCAGCGCCGCGACCCCGCGGGGGCACCGCAGGUAACGUGGGUGAUGUCCCUGUGCCGUGGGGAGGCUGUGGAAGGGGCUGCCUGAGGGGAUGGGGCCCUCUGCCCCGUCCCCAGGUCUGGAGGCUCCUCUGCGGGAAAUCACCGAGUUAUUCCCGGUUUAAAGCAGGGAAACUGAGGCACGGUGUUCUGCCUGGUCUCAGAGCGGCCACACAGCCUGCGAGACCUUGCCCUGGGGGGGAGAGGCUGGGAAAUCCCAUUUUUCCUCCACACCAGCAGGGCUCAGAUGCAGCAAGUGAUUUUGCAAAACCUCAUUCCUGUUCAUUCCGGCUUUGCCACAGCCACCUCCAUGUCCCCGAGGCCAGUCCAGAGCCCAGCUCAGCUGGGGACAGGGGGGGGCAGCCAGAGCCAGGGGGGUUCAGGGCGGGCGAUGGCUCCAGUGGGAUAUUGGCCCCAGGGGGAGCCGGGGUAGCAGGUGCAGGAACUCAGUGCCCUUGUGGGCCCCCACCCAUGGGUGGGGGCAAGGCGGGGCUGGGCUACGGCAGGAUUUAG